rnacentral:lncRNA from 1 species
AAAGCCAGGUGAGGGUCCAGGUGCUGCUGCCCGGCCUGUGAAGGUAGCGGGAUUCACAGCUGCUGGAGCGGCCUUGGAAAGCGGAAGCGCCGGCUCUGGAGUUGGGCCUGUGUUCACCCCCGGCGCUGACGCUGAUGAGCCAGACACUGCACCUCAGCCCCCGGAGUCCCGGUCUCCUCCUCUGGAAAGUGGAAGCAGCGCCUGCCUCCGCAGUCUGAGGAGGCCCCAAGGGAGGGAGCAGGAACCAGAACCAGGUUAUGGCAUGGAGACGGCUGCCUUACGAAUGCUGUGGCCUUUGGUAGAAGAUGCAGAUGACCCAGCAACCCAGCGAGGACAACACAGGGGAGUAAAUGCCCUGACCGCUCUCUCUCCCUGUCCUGGGAGCACUUUCUCGUGUCCCCCAUUGGCUGAGUCCAACCUGACGUCAGAGAGCAAGGCUGCCUGUUGAUGCAGCCCACACACAUCAGCCUCACAGGACACAGAGGGUGGAGAAGGGGAGAGAAGAUAUCUAGCCACCUAACAAAUGAAAUUUCUUUAGCUUAAGUCAGUCAGUGACCCCAUUCUGGCAAAAGAGAUUUGAGGGAAGAUCUGCUAGGGAGUUUCUGGGGAAAGGGUCUUUAGUUUUAGGAAAGAGACACAGGAAAGAUGUGUUCUUUAUUGUGUCUGAUGUGACGCCUGGAACUGCAGCAGCCAUCUUGCAAGCAUGAGGGAAGCCAGCAAAGCAAAACUGACCCACUGAGGAUGGAAAAGCAGAGUUGGAAAGAAGCAGAUCCUCAGUGACUUUGUGGGACUGCUCUGAGAACCUGUUCUACCUCUGAGGUUCUUUUUAUCAUGAAAUAACAAAGGUGCUUAUUGGUUGAGUCACUUUCGAGUUGGAUUUCCAGUUACUUGAGGUCUGAAGCUAAUGGACACAGCUGCCAUCCACCAUUGUCACCCCAUAUGCGAGCAUUCUUGGCUCCCACAGACUGCAGGCCAAGCCCUCCUGGUUUCCUCUGCUGACCGUGGGCUUGCACUGACCACGUCAGAUUCAGGGCAGAGUUUCAAAUGCCUUUUUAGUUUGUGACAAAAGAGAGUCAGAAGUGGGAGAUGGGUUCUUAUUGCGAUGCUUCCCUACAGAUGGCUUCUGGCGGUGGCACUGACCACAGCAGAGUGACUCCCAUGGAGGCAGGUGAUCUAGGGUAGCGGUGGGGGCACAGGCCUUGCAGGUUGUCAGAACUGGCUUCAAGUCUAGGUCAGCUGCUUCCCAACUGUGUGACUUUGGGCAAGUUAGUUACCUUCUCUGAGCCCUUAGUUUUCUCACUGCAGAUGGUAAGAGUUGAAUUAGAUAAAUGUAAAAACAAACAAACCCUGAUAUUAAUCCUAGUCCUGAGAGGCUGCCCUUAAGGACGUUAUCCCCCUCUCUCCCUAUUC